AGACAGCAAGCCAAGUGGGCAGAUGGGGACUUCUGUCCUCUACAAACAGAAACCAACCACUACUGUCCCUUGCUACUUCCUCUUCUUGCUGAUGCGUGGUUCACGCAUGGCAUCAUGCUCUGAUACCUCCCCAGAUACAGCUUUCUGCCUCUCCUGCUACCAGGGCACCGUACCUAUUCUGCAACUGUGGACCUGUAGGUGGAGAAGGAACUGCUGUCCAUGUGCCAGAAGUCAUGUUAGUUAUUUUCAUCUCAUAAUUUCUAAUCAAUAUUGCAUUCAGCAUCACACCAGCUUGUGCUCAUCUAAGACUCUGAAAGAAAGGAGGCAGAUAACAGCAUGUCAGAGAAGAGUGAGGGCUGGCUGCUCCCUGAAGUACAGAGAUCCUGGAGUCAAGAGCAGUAGUACUGCCAAGAAGCUUUAGUUUUGACUAUUGUGAAUGAUUUUGGCUUCUUAUUCAGCAACUUUUCUAGAUCAUUUAUGAAUAUAUUGAAGAGCACGCAUCCCAUGGUACGUUCCUGUGUUGUACAGAUGAUCUUCUUUUCUGAGCACUAACCACUUAGUCCCAUCUUUUCUCUUAAUGAGCAAUUUUUAUUUUUAUUUAUUUUUAAAUGAGAGCACUUUUGAUGAGACACCUUGUCUGGAGACUUUCUAAAGAAAAAAGUCUGCUCAUCUACUUGUUGAUUGCCCCAGAGAAAGCUCUUCGGUAUGUGCGGAACUACUCUCUACAAAAACUGUGUUGACUUUUGCUUGUUUAAUCAUCUUUAAUCAUGGAUCUGUUCAUUUUUUCUUUCAUUAUAUUCUCAUCCAAUUUUAUUUGCUUGAAAACCAGACUUUUUGGCUUGCAACACCCAGG
ensembl:lncRNA